CAGUCGCCGCGGUAAUACGAAGGGUGCAAGCGUUAAUCGGAAUUACUGGGCGUAAAGCGUGCGUAGGCGGUUUGUUAAGUCUGCUGUGAAAUCCCCGGGCUCAACCUGGGAAUGGCAGUGGAUACUGGCAAGCUAGAGUGUGUCAGAGGAUGGUGGAAUUCCCGGUGUAGCGGUGAAAUGCGUAGAGAUCGGGAGGAACAUCAGUGGCGAAGGCGGCCAUCUGGGACAACACUGACGCUGAGGCACGAAAGCGUGGGGAGCAAACAGGAUUAGAUACCCGGGUAGUCCCUGUCUCUUAUAC
rnacentral:rRNA from 1 species